UGGUCAAGUUAUUAAGGGUGCAGGGUGGAUGCCUUGGCACUAGGAGCCGAUGAAGGACGUGAUAAGCUGCGAUAAGCUUCGGGGAGUUGCACGUA
rnacentral:rRNA from 1 species